rnacentral:lncRNA from 1 species
UGGGAUGUCAGAAUAUACGAUUAUAUUAUAUACCCACAAACAAUGGGAUAUACAUAACUAAUUUAGAUCUUUAAUUAUGGUCAGAUUGUAACAUAAUUAUAGCAACUUUUCGUAUAUAAAUAUACAGGUCUCGAUGAAUCAAUCAUUAAAUCAUCUUCUCCCAACGUUUUAUUCUUCUUUCUAUUCCCUCUUAUCAUCCUUUUCAAGGGAAGGAUGGAUACUUCUCUGUUUUUUGAUACGAAGCGGGUAGACAUGGCUGGGAUAAUAGAAGAUCUGGAGAAGAACCACGAGCUCAGUGAAGAGGUCGUCGGAGAAGAAGAAAUUGAAGAAAAAAAAAGCGAACAGAGAAAAGAAAAAUUAGAUCAGAGCCGCCAGGUGAGGGAGAGCCGUUCCAAGAGGGCUCCAGGCUGGACUGCCAAUUAUGAUAUGGGCAGAUAAGGGUUAAUUUGCAAUUAGAUCCUUAAGUUUAGAUUAAAUGUGUGAUAUUGUUUGUAUAGUUUUAAUUGGAGAAUUUCUAUUAUACACCCUUAUGUAAUUUACCCUAUAAAAGGGCUCAAUUGUAAAUAUUGUGAGUCAUCUAAUAAAAAAUAAAAUAAAAGUUUCCCCAAAUUCCAUCCUCUCCAUUCCAUAACCGCCGAUAUCCUCCCAACACAUCCGUUCAUCAUCGCAGCCAACCGCCGUCGUGUUCACCGGCCAUCUUCUCCGUUCGUCGCCGGCCAGACUAUAUUCCAAC